CAUCUUUUUCGCACCGGUUCAAAUCGGUGCGAAUUACAAAAGAGAAAAAAAAAUAAAAAAAAAAAAGGAGAAAGGGAUUUCGCACCGAUCCAGUCCAAACCGGAGCGAAAUUAAAAAAAAAAAAAAAAACCGGGCUAUUAUAUCUUCUUCUUUCUUUCUUUCUUACCCCCUGCUUUUCCAUCUUCUGUUUUCCCUCAGCUCGUUUUCGCCUUCUUUUCCACCACCUCCGAAUUUUCACCUUCUCCAUUGAAGCGGUUUAUCAGCUUUCUCACUCCAUUGAAGUAGCUGCACCUCCUUUUCUCUCCAUAUCUCUCCUCCAUUGAACUCGUGUUCUUUAUUCUCCAUUGAAGCGGAUUCUGAGCUUUCUCACCUCCAUUGAAGCAGCUUCGAGGUAAGGUUUUUCUUGUGGCAUUCUUAAUCUAUCGAAUUCCUUCGCAAUCUAGGGUUUGUCGUUGAUUUGCUUUUCAAUUUAGUAAUUUUAGGGUUGUAAUAAUAUAGGGUUUGUCUGAAUUUACAAAUCUUGAUUCAACCCCAUAUUCUGACAAACCUGCAACGCUUCCGACCAACACACUGUCACCUUUAACGGCUUCCGGUACCGGCGCUUGAAAGGCUUUUUUUUUUUUUUUUUUUUUUUUUUUUUUUUUUGUUAAAGCUUACAAAACCCUAAUAUAAAUCUCUCUUUCGCUCAAUUUUUUCCCCAAUUACAAGUAAGUUUCUUCUCUUUUUCGCUUAAUUCAUCUUUAUAUUCUUUUAUGCUGUAUUUUUUGUUGAUUCUGUUAUAGAUUUAGUUGAAAUUUGUAAUAUUACGUUGUUUUUUUUUUUUUUUUUAAUCUGCGUUUUUUUGCUCAAUUUUUUCCCCAAUUUCAAGCAAUGUUUUUGCUAACCUUGGCUGUGUAGAAUCUGUAGAUUGUGUAUUGUGGGUUCUUUGAUUUUGGAACUUGACUCGUUAUUUUGGGUUCACUGUUUUUUUUUUAAUUCCAUAACUUUGCUAUGAAUCUAAGUUUGUUUUGAUAAAUAAUUAGUUUAAUUCAUUAUAAUUGGCCUAUGAACAAGUUGAGUUUCACUAUAUUCAUACUGAUUAAAAUUUGUAUGCAUUAGUCAAUUUUUUCAAGCAUUGGAUUUGAGUGUCAAUUUUUGUUUGCUUCAAUGUGUUUAUGAUGGAUAUUUUGUAGGGCUUCAAUUUGAGAACAAUUGUGAAGUGGGUGUGUUCUCUAAGUUGACUAAUGCAUAUUGUUUAUUUGGUCAGCAAUCGGCAGGUCUGAGAACUUUUACAGUACAUUAAGCGAAUUGUCGUGUGAGAUAUCUGGAGAUCUUGCUGGGCAGCGAAGUUCAGAACAGAACCAGAAGAAAAGCAGCAGCAUUAAACUCGGGAGAGCAUAACAGCAAGACGAAGGAACCCAGGUGGUUGUAGCUCUCGGUUUGCUAUGAAACAGGCUGAAAUUUCGUUAAGUUGAAAGCUGUACUUUGGGGGAAAGUUUCUGGGCUGGUUGUUCGUGGUUGUUUCGCCAAUUUUCACUCAAGAAAAAUUGGUAUUCAUUACUCUAGAUUCCUUUGUUAAUUUAUGAUUUUUGCAUGCAGUAUUUCAAUAGUUGGUGAUUUGGUACUAAGUUAAUUUUGUUUUCAUCAUUUCAGUAUUAUCAGAUUAAGGAGUUGUUUCAAGUAUUAUUAGAUUCAUUUACUUGUUUA